GAGAGCGUUGAAAAAUACUGAUCAGCCAUGUUGUAGGGUAUCCCGUUCCUCUCAGUCUCUGCACGGAGCUAUUUUUAUUAAACGAUGGAAUGUUAUUACCAUCUGUAAGUCUGCAGUCCUAUAUUCCACCACAGUCUGACCUAAUUCUGCCAGAAUCUGGAGCACGGCAGAACCUGAGAGUGGUCGACGGGACCAGCAGGAUGAGAAGUUGUCUCAAAAUCCUUCUCUCUCAAGAAACCUUCCCUGAGUAACUCUAACCCAUUCUGAGAGCAGGUGCGAAGCGUAUGUGCCUUGAAUGAAUGAGGAACGCUCCUUCUAUGUGGACAAGUUAGAUACAAGUGCCCUCCUUUGAGCAGACGCGGCCCCUGGGGACCACAGCCUGGCAAGCAGACAACAUCUUUGUGAGAAGAAAAUGGCACUCCUUCUGAAGCAGCUCCUGCUGGUGCACACAGCGUGGGGAGUGACAGAGGGACUGGGCUUCAGUCCACAUGCACCCUCUCAGCCAGGCAUCUUUACACAGUGCACGAACUAGACAACAGUACCAAGGAAGCCCUGUUUACUGUGAUCAUUCAUUUUCUCCACAGCUGUCCAGAACUUACACAUACUUAAACAUAGUGGAGUCUUCCAGCAGAGCUCCAUCAGAUCAGAUACUGAAUGUGUAAAUCUGGCAGCAGCUGCCUAAACAUCUAUUUGUGUUCGUUAAUGUGUGUUGUGACUAAAGGAGAGGGGAAAUUAGGUGAUCCAGAACCAACUGGGCGAAGACACAGGAAAACAGGAAAUUGAAAAUGAUAUCUUGCCUGUGUUCCAACUGUUCCUAGAUACUUUUCCCUGGGGGCUAUGAAAUAUUCUUCACCAGAGAUCAUGGAACAGGAUCUCUGACUAAACCUGACAUGCCGAAUAGCCAUUGUAUUUCAUCUUCAAAAUGAUACAGGAGAAAGAGGUGACAAAUGGAAAGGAAGUAUGCUACCCACAGUUCAGAGCCUGUGGGGAAAUCUACAAGGAGUAGCAGUCCUGAAUGGGUUCUCUGAUGUGCUGUUUCCAAGAAGUGCUCAGGAGAUGGAUCUCUCAGAAGAGCCUACCUACUCAGAACUUGGAGGUGUCACCAGGCACAGUGGCUCAUGCCUAUAAUCCCAGCACUUUGGGAGACCGAGGUU